GAUGAACGCUAGCUACAGGCUUAACACAUGCAAGUCGAGGGGAAACGACAUCGAAAGCUUGCUUUUGAUGGGCGUCGACCGGCGCACGGGCGAGUAACGCGUAUCCAACCUGCCCACCACUUGGGGAUAACCUUGCGAAAGUAAGACUAAUACCCAAUGAUAUCUCUAGAAGACAUCUGAAAGAGAUUAAAGAUUCAUCGGUGAUGGAUGGGGAUGCGUCUGAUUAGCUUGUUGGCGGGGUAACGGCCCACCAAGGCGACGAUCAGUAGGGGUUCUGAGAGGAAGGUCCCCCACAUUGGAACUGAGACACGGUCCAAACUCCUACGGGAGGCAGCAGUGAGGAAUAUUGGUCAAUGGACGCAAGUCUGAACCAGCCAAGUAGCGUGCAGGAUGACGGCCCUAUGGGUUGUAAACUGCUUUUAUGCGGGGAUAAAGUGUGGGACUGUCCCAUAUUGUAGGUACCGCAUGAAUAAGGACCGGCUAAUUCCGUGCCAGCAG
rnacentral:rRNA from 1 species